GGGAAUAAUCACUGGAAACGGUGACUAAUACCGCAUAAUAUUCUUGGAAGGCAUCUUCCGAGAAGGAAAGGAAAUAUUCGGUAAAAGAUGGGCCCGCAUCUGAUUAGCUAGUUGGUGAGAUAACAGCCCACCAAGGCGACGAUCAGUAGCCGACCUGAGAGGGUGACCGGCCACAUUGGGACUGAGACACGGCCCAAACUCCUACGGGAGGCAGCAGUGGGGAAUAUUGCACAAUGGGGGGAACCCUGAUGCAGCAACGCCGCGUGAAGGAAGACGGUUUUCGGAUUGUAAACUUCUAUCAAUAGGGAAGAAAGAAAUGACGGUACCUAAAUAAGAAGCCCCGGCUAACUACGUGCCAGCAGCCGCGGUAAUACGUAGGGGGCAAGCGUUAUCCGGAAUUACUGGGUGUAAAGGGAGAGUAGGCGGCAAGGUAAGCGAUAUGUGAAAGCCUUAGGCUUAACCUGAGGAUUGCAUAACGAACUAUCUAGCUAGAGUACAGGAGAGGAAAGCGGAAUUCCUAGUGUAGCGGUGAAAUGCGUAGAUAUUAGGAAGAACACCAGUGGCGAAGGCGGCUUUCUGGACUGAAACUGACGCUGAGGCUCGAAAGCGUGGGGAGCGAACAGGAUUAGAUACCCUGGUAGUCCACGCUGUAAACGAAGAG
rnacentral:rRNA from 1 species